UACGUAGGGUGCGAGCGUUUAAUCGGAAUUACUGGGCGUAAAGCGUGCGCAGGCGGUUUUGUAAGCCAGAUGUGAAAUCCCCGGGCUCAACCUGGGAAUGGCAAUGGAUACUGGCAAGCUAGAGUGCGGUAGAGGGUAGUGGAAUUCCCGGUGUAGCGGUGAAAUGCGUAGAGAUCGGGAGGAACACCAGUGGCGAAGGCGGCUACCUGGACCAGCACUGACACUGAGGCACGAAAGCGUGGGGAGCAAACAGG
rnacentral:rRNA from 1 species